CGCUGGCGGCAUGCCUAACACAUGCAAGUCGAACGAGACCCCUGACUUCGGUUGGCGGGUCUAGUGGCGCACGGGUGCGUAACGCGUGGGAAUCUGCCCUUGGGUUCGGAAUAACUCAGAGAAAUUUGAGCUAAUACCGGAUGAUGACGAAAGUCCAAAGAUUUAUCGCCCAGGGAUGAGCCCGCGUAAGAUUAGCUUGUUGGUGGGGUAAUGGCCUACCAAGGCGACGAUCUUUAGCUGGUCUGAGAGGAUGAUCAGCCACACUGGGACUGAGACACGGCCCAGACUCCUACGGGAGGCAGCAGUGGGGAAUAUUGGACAAUGGACGCAAGCCUGAUCCAGCAAUGCCGCGUGAGUGAUGAAGGCCUUAGGGUUGUAAAGCUCUUUUACCAGGGAUGAUAAUGACAGUACCUGGAGAAUAAGCUCCGGCUAACUCCGUG
rnacentral:rRNA from 1 species